rfam:Erinaceus europaeus unplaced genomic scaffold scaffold00343, whole genome shotgun sequence
ACAUGUGAGGGCGAUCUGGCUGCGACAUCUGUCACCCCAUUCAUUGUUCACCUGGGUUGAUUCGGCUGAUCUGGAUGGCUAGGCGGUGUCCCCUUCCUCUCUCACCGCUGCAUGUGCAUCCCUCCGGAAGCUACGCACUCUGUCGAAGUGGAAGGCCUUCCCCCAAAUAGAGACGGACUGGUCUUUGGUCGAGGGUAUAGGAGUAGCUGCACUCCCCUGCUAGAACCUCCAAACAAGCUCUCAAGGACCAAGUGCAAGGACCCAGAUUCAAGUGCCCACUUCCCACCUGCCUGGGGGGGCACUUCAG